rnacentral:rRNA from 1 species
AUUGAACGCUGGCGGCAGGCCUAACACAUGCAAGUCGAACGAGUGGCGGACGGGUGAGUAAUGUCUGGGAAACUGCACGAUGGAGGGGGAUAACUACUGGAAACGGUAGCUAAUACCGCAUACCAUCGGAUGUGCCCAGAUGGGAUUAGCUUGUAGGUGAGGGAACGGCUCACCUAGGCGACGAUCCAUAGCUGGUCUGUAAGGAUUGCCAGCCACAAUGGGACUGAUACACUGUCCAGACGCCUACGGCAGGCAGCAGUGGGGAAUAUUGGACAAUGGGCGCAAGCCUGAUGCAGCCAUGCCGCGUGUAUGAAGAAGGCCUUCAGGUUGUAAAGUACUUUCAGCGGGGAGGCGUUACCCGCAGAAGAAGCACCGACUAACCCCAGGCCAGCAGCCGCGGUAAUUC